rnacentral:lncRNA from 1 species
CUCACUGCAAGCAAAAAGGGGAAGAAACGCUCACAAAAGGGAAGGCAGCAGGAAAAGUAAUCGGGUUGCUGUGGAAAUGUGUUCUUCAACGUUGGAGGUGGGAUCUGGUGGGCAGUGUUUGGAUCAUGGGGAUGGAUCCCUCAGGAAUGGCUUGGUGUCCACCCCACGGUAAUGGGUUCACAAGAGAUCUGGUUGAUGAAGAGUCUGGGACCUCGCUCCUCUUCCUUGCUUCCUCACUCACCAUGUGAUAUGCCUGCACCUUCCACCAUGAUUGGAAGCUUCCUGAGGCCUCAUCAGAAGCCAAGCAGAUGCUGGUGUUAUGCUGGUAUAGCCUGCAGAACCAUGAGCCAAAUAAAACUUUUUUU